rnacentral:lncRNA from 1 species
AUUUCCCUGUCUUGGGGUAGAUCUGAAAAGGCAGCUGUUUGGAGAAGGGAGGGCCCUGCUGAAUCUGAAAAAAUUAUAUGAUUUCCUGAUCCUUAUCCACAACGUUUACAAGGACUGUCUCCUGAAGAUGCCACCUCCCCAAUGUGGAAUGGUUCCAUCUGAUCCUGUUGUCCCUUUCUCCAGUGAUGAAAGGAAAGACUGUGCUGAAGGCUCUGUUUCCCGGAGAAAGCCGUGGUUCUGUUCCAGCCAUGGCUGCAGGAAGGGAGGAGAUGCCAGGCACAGUCACAGGAGGUGAGCGUGCUUGGGAGGCUUCUCAAGUAGCUUGGCUUCAUGAAGAUUUGCAGCCUCUGNGCACCUGCUCCUUUCCUUCAUCAGGGGCUGGCACAGAACCAUUGCUUCCUCUAGGAUAUGCCAGCAUCUGCGCAUUAUUUUGCUUCAUCGCUUGAGAAAGAAAAAUGGACAUCGGGAUCAGAUGGAACCAUUCCCAUUCAGGGAGGUGGCAUGUUCAGGAGAAAUAGCUCGUGUAAAUCAUGGAUAAGAAUUAGAAAAAGACCCAGGCUCUUGGGGCUGUGAAAUGGCUCUCUCUUGUCCCAACCACCACCUCUUCUGAUCUACUCCGAGACCAGGAAAUUUCAGGGGAU